rnacentral:rRNA from 1 species
UACGAAGGGGGCUAGCGUUGCUCGGAAUCACUGGGCGUAAAGGGUGCGUAGGCGGAUUUUUAAGUCAGGGGUGAAAUCCCAAGGCUCAACCUUGGAACUGCCUUUGAUACUGGGGAUCUUGAGUCCGGGAGAGGUGAGUGGAACUGCGAGUGUAGAGGUGAAAUUCGUAGAUAUUCGCAAGAACACCAGUGGCGAAGGCGGCUCACUGGCCCGGAACUGACGCUGAGGCACGAAAGCGUGGGGAGCAAACAGG